rnacentral:rRNA from 1 species
AAUCAACGCUGGCGGCGUGCCUCAGACAUGCAAGUCGAACGCGAAAGUCCCCUUCGGGGGACAAGUAGAGUGGCGCACGGGUGAGUAACACGUAGGUAAUCUACCUUCGGAUGGGGAAUAACAACCGGAAACGUUGCUAAUACCGCAUAAUGCAGCGGCACCUAAUGGUGACAGUUGUUAAAGCGGGGGGAUCGUAAGGACCUCGCGUCUGAAGAGGAGCCUGCGGCGGAUUAGCUAGUUGGAA